rnacentral:rRNA from 1 species
AACGAACGCUGGCGGCGCGUCUUAAGCAUGCAAGUCGAACGGCAAGAGAGAAGCUUGCUUCUCUCCUAGAGUGGCAGACUGGUGAGGAACACGUGGGUAAUCUACCCUUAAGAUGGGGAUAGCUGCUAGAAAUAGCAGGUAAUACCGAAUACACUCAGUUUUUCAUAAGAAGGAUUGAGGAAAGGAAGCUACGGCUUCGCUUGAGGAUGAGCUUGCGUCCCAUUAGCUUGUUGGUGAGGUAACGGCUCACCAAGGCGACGAUGGGUAUCCGGCCUGAGAGGGUGAUCGGACACAUUGGGACUGAGAUACGGCCCAAACUCCUACGGGAGGCAGCAGCUAAGAAUAUUCCGCAAUGGACGAAAGUCUGACGGAGCGACGCCGCGUGGAUGAAGAAGGCUGAAAAGUUGUAAAAUCCUUUUGUUGAUGAAGAAUAAGGGUGAGAGGGAAUGUUCAUCUGAUGACGGUAAUCAGCGAAUAAGCCCCG